CAACCUCCGGGCCCCGCCGCCGGGGAUCUCGCAGAUCAGCCGUGCUAGCAUCCCCACGAAGAAGCCCAUCGCACCGGCCCAGUCGUCCGUCAUGGAUGCAACCGUGAGCACGCCUCUCUCACCAAACUCUCGUUCUAUGCCGAGCUUCAGCAGUUCGCAUCUAUAAAUAGGAUCGAUCUGUCUGUGGUGCCGUCCGAGUGGCCGACCGUCUAGCCGGCCGGCCGGCUUGCAAUUGUCACCAGCAAGCUAGUUCAAGUGUUGAGUGGACCUAAACAGCAAACAAAACUCAUCGAUCACAUGACAACUUCUGAGACCCCAAGGCUACAUCUCAUUGAAGUUUGGAAGAAGAUCAAUUGUUUUCUGACUUAUCUAUCUUGCCUCGUGCAUCACCAGCUGAACAUGUGAUCUUAUUCCUGCUACUAACUAGUACUACUACAUUUUUUGACUGUCGAAUGUGUGUGUGCAGACUAUAUGUCACUGUCAGAACCUUAUUGAACUUGUUUGGAAUUACAGGACACCCUCACUUGUUUGUGUCGUAGAUGCAUCAUUUUUUCCCGGGAGUAGGCAAUUCAUUUUACAGAUGUGGUAUUCUUAUGCAGAACUUUCCCCAGGAGUAGCCAAGGUUUCGGGAGGAUGAUGGACACCGCGAGAUCCUCUGUUUCAGGAGGAUGAUGGACGCCGCGAGAUCCUCUGUUUCAGGAGGAUGAUGGAUGCCGGCGAGAUCGUCCAUUUCGCCUCCCCGUCCUACGACUAGAUGAAUUGCGGCGUCCAGAUGUCAGCCAAGAAGGCGGCGUCAUUGUUACAGUUUGUGUUCUUCUGACCAAACGCGUUGGCGAGUUGUUCUCCAUUAAUCUCAUGAUGCAUUGCAAACUCAUGAUUGUAAUUGAUAUCAUUCCGUGCAAAAUUUAUGUUAAACUUUUUGUGCAACUCUUGAUGCGUUAGAGACAUACUUUUUUUCCUUGAUGGUGUUUGUACAUCCAUGUUUUUUCUAUGUAGGCGAUGUUUGUACAGCUGUCGAAGUUGCACACACACGGCAGCAUAGUUAGGGGCCUUAGGGUUAGUUGUGUAGAAGUUUUC
rnacentral:lncRNA from 1 species